GUCGAGGGGCAGCAGGAUGUAGCAAUACAUUGGCUGGCGACCGGCAAACGGGUGCGGAACACGUACACAACCUUCCUUUAAGUGGGGGAUAGCCCAGAGAAAUUUGGAUUAAUACCCCGUAAAAUUAUGAGAUGGCAUCAUUUUAUAAUUAAAGCUCCGGCGCUUGGAGAUGGGUGUGCGGCUGAUUAGGUAGUUGGUGAGGGUAACGGCCCACCAAGCCAGCGAUCAGUAACUGGUGUGAGAGCACGACCAGUCACACGGGCACUGAGACACGGGCCCGACUCCUACGGGAGGCAGCAGUAAGGAAUAUUGGUCAAUGGACGCAAGUCUGAACCAGCCAUGCCGCGUGGAGGAUGAAGGUCCUCUGGAUUGUAAACUUCUUUUAUCUGGGAAGAAAUGCAUUUUUUCUAAAGUGUUUGACGGUACCAGAUGAAUAAGCACCGGCUAACUCCGUGCCAGCAGCCGCGGUAAUACGGAGGGUGCAAGCGUUAUCCGGAUUCACUGGGUUUAAAGGGUGCGUAGGUGGGCAGUUAAGUCAGUGGUGAAAUCUCCGGGCUUAACCCGGAAACUGCCAUUGAUACUAUCUGUCUUGAAUACCGUGGAGGUGAGCGGAAUAUGUCAUGUAGCGGUGAAAUGCUUAGAUAUGACAUAGAACACCAAUUGCGAAGGCAGCUCACUACACGAAUAUUGACACUGAGGCACGAAAGCGUGGGGAUCAAACAGGAUUAGAUACCCUGGUAGUCCACGCCCUAAACGAUGGAUACUCGACAUACGCGAUACACAGUGUGUGUCUGAGCGAAAGCAUUAAGUAUCCCACCUGGGAAGUACGACCGCAAGGUUGAAACUCAAAGGAAUUGACGGGGGUCCGCACAAGCGGUGGAGCAUGUGGGGUAAUUCGAUGAUACGCGAGGAACCUUACCUGGGCUAGAAUGCUGGGAGACGGUGGGUGAAAGCUCACUUUGUAGCAAUACACUGCCAGUAAGGUGCUGCAUGGCUGUCGUCAGCUC
rnacentral:rRNA from 1 species